rnacentral:lncRNA from 1 species
GCUGCGCACUUCGGUCUUUUACGUCGGCCUUCGCGAGCGUCUGGGCGGGUGGUAGGAACAAUGGCGCUGUCUUCAGUGGCACAGUGGAGCAGCUCUGAAGAUGCAAAGUGAGGGUCGCUGUCUGCCCAUUGAUAGAGGCCAGAUUGUCUUGGAAGUUCCAAAGUUGCAACGAUUUCUGGCUAGUGCCACGAGGUUUACUUGACUGUUGUGUGAAAAGCUGAUAAGAAAACCAUCCAGAAAAAAGCUCUUCGUUUUACAAACAUGAAAAUAAAACAUGUAAUUUUGGAUUAUGUUCCUUUUUGUUAUUACUUUUAAAUAGGUCCUGAAAUAACAUGGGGAGCAUUAAAUGGAAAAUCCACUAACCA